rnacentral:rRNA from 1 species
GAGUUUGAUCCUGGCUCAGAAUCAACGCUGGCGGCGCGCUUAACACAUGCAAGUCGCACGAGAAAGUGGAGCAAUCCAUGAGUACAGUGGCGUACGGGUGAGUAACACGUGGAUCAUCUACCUCUUGAUGGGGAAUAACCCUGGGAAACCGGGGCUAAUACCGCAUAAGCCUGAAAAGGGAAAGCAGCAAUGCGUCGAGAGAGGAGUCCGCGGCCGAUUAGCUAGUUGGUAGGGUAAUGGCCUACCAAGGCAAUGAUCGGUAGCCGGCCUGAGAGGGCACACGGCCACACUGGCACUGAAACACGGGCCAGACUCCUACGGGAGGCAGCAGUGGGGAAUCUUGCACAAUGGGGGCAACCCUGAUGCAGCGACGCCGCGUGAGCGAUGAAGCCCUUCGGGGUGUAAAGCUCUUUCGGCAGGAACGAUAAUGACGGUACCUGCAGAAGAAGCUGCGGCUAACUACGUGCCAGCAGCCGCGGUAAUACGUAGGGGGCAAGCGUUAUCCAGAUUUACUGGGCGUAAAGCGCGUGUAGGCGGCUGGUUAAGUGUGAUGUGAAAUCUUCCGGCUCAACCGGAAAACUGCAUUGCAAACUGGCCUGGCUAGAGUGCAGGAGAGGGAAGCGGAAUUCCAGGUGUAGCGGUGAAAUGCGUAGAUAUCUGGAGGAACACCAGUGGCGAAGGCGGCUUCCUGGCCUGCAACUGACGCUGAGACGCGAAAGCGUGGGGAGCGAACCGGAUUAGAUACCCGGGUAGUCCACGCCCUAAACGUUGCGAACUAGGUGUUGGUCGGAUUGACCCGAUCAGUGCCGCAGCUAACGCAUUAAGUUCGCCGCCUGGGGACUACGGCCGCAAGGUUAAAACUCAAAGGGAUAGGCGGGGGCCCGCACAAGCAGCGGAGCGUGUGGUUUAAUUCGAGGCAACGCGAAGAACCUUACCUGGGCUUGACAUGCAGAGGAAAUAUUCGCGAAAGUGAGUACCUCCCGCAAGGGACUUCUGCGCAGGUGGUGCAUGGCUGUCGUCAGCUCGUGUCGUGAGAUGUUGGGUUAAGUCCCGCAACGAGCGCAACCCUUGUCCUUAGUUGCAAAUCUAGGGAGACCGCCGGAAACAAACCGGAGGAAGGUGGGGAUGAAGUCAAGUCAGCAUGGCUCUUACGUCUUGGGCUACACACACGCUACAAUGGCCGGUACAGCGAGAAGCCACCCAGCGAUGGGGAGCAGACCUCCAAAGCCGGCCCCAGUUCAGAUUGCACUCUGCAACCCGAGUGCAUGAAGUCGGAGUUGCUAGUAACCGCGUGUCAGCAUAGCGCGGUGAAUAUGUUCCCGGGUCUUGCACACAC